CCUACGUGCGGCAGCAGUGGGGAAUAUUGGACAAUGGGCGAAAGCCUGAUCCAGCCAUGCCGCGUGUGUGAAGAAGGCCUUCGGGUUGUAAAGCACUUUCAGUGGGGAAGAAAGCCUUGGGGCUAAUACCCUCGAGGAAGGACAUCACCCACAGAAGAAGCACCGGCUAACUCCGUGCCAGCAGCCGCGGUAAUACGGAGGGUGCGAGCGUUAAUCGGAAUUACUGGGCGUAAAGCGCGCGUAGGCGGUCUGAUAAGCCGGUUGUGAAAGCCCCGGGCUCAACCUGGGAACGGCAUCCGGAACUGUCAGGCUAGAGUGCAGGAGAGGAAGGUAGAAUUCCCGGUGUAGCGGUGCAAUGCGUAGAGAUCGGGAGGAAUACCAGUGGCGAAGGCGGCCUUCUGGACUGACACUGACGCUGAGGUGCGAAAGCGUGGGUAGCAAACAGGAUUAGAUACCCGGGUAGUC
rnacentral:rRNA from 1 species